rnacentral:lncRNA from 1 species
AGAUGAGGAUGCGUCCACUGCUCUCCAGGAUGGCGCCAUCUGCAUGGGGACAGGGUGGGCCUCAGUUUACCUGGACAGCCACCACUUCCUGCCUGCUCUGGGGUGGCUCCGCACCUUUGCUCCAGGUGGCCUGGGCAGCUGGCUGGGCUGACACCUGGCAGGCCAGUGUCACUGACUGGCCCAGGACCACGGCCUCAUCUGAGAGCUCCCUCAGGAAGGAUGGUGCUGAGGAGGGGCGUGAGAUGAGGGUCAGGGGGACACCCAGCGCGAGGGUGCAGCCAGACCCCACCCUGCCCUCCAGGACUGCUAGGCCCUGCUCACCAUGGUCCCUGCCUUUCAGGCCGGACAGCCUGAAGGCAGCCAGGCCCGCCUUCUUCCUGGGGGGCUCCUCCCUCUCCUGACCUGAAGGCGUGGAGGUGGAGGUCAGCCAGGAGUCCCUCCUCCAGGCAGCACCCUUGCCCCACCCCCACCCCAGAUUUCCAUGCCUCGGGAUGGCCAGCACCCAGGCUUUCGGAAAGGAAGCGCAUCGCACUAAGGAGGCUUCCCAUGCUGGGCUGCCUGUGGGGUGAGGCUAGUAGGCUGAGCUGUCCCUGGCAUGAGAGGAUGAGGAGACCCUGGAUGUGCCAGCUCCCAGCAGGAGUCACCUUGCUUGCCCUUAAGGAUGCGGGAGAUGUGGGCCAUGGAUGCCUUCACCCUCUGGCGCAGCCUGCGCUCCGGGGGUUCUUCAGGUGACAGGCAGCCUCCAGGGAACUGGAAAAGGCCCCGUGAGGGCGACCACUUGCGCUUCCUACCCGUGGCCGCCUCCCCCAGCAGGGCCACCAGGUCAUCAGGCUCCUCCUCUGUGAUCUCUAGGCCAGCAUGCAGGCCGAGCUCGCCUGGCCAGGGCUGCAUGGCCUCCGGGAACCUGGCCAGCUCCUCCUCAGCCUCCGUCUCUGGCGAGGAAGGCUCCGGCGGCUCAGAGGGCUUAGGGACCCUCCUGAAGAUCAUGAACUCAAAUGGGAGGUACUUGAUGUCAUACAGGUCGGAGAGGU